UGGAGCCUCUGGCACAGAGGCUCUGCCAUUCUUAUUGAGCCACUUGAGAUGUCCCUUCUUUACCAGCCUUUCAUUGGGCCUAAAAUCACCGAAGGCAGGGAGCCCCACAAAUGGCCGUCAGAGGCAAUGGGGUGGCAUUCCCAAGGACUAAGUACAUAGAUUCCUGCUCCUACAAUGUUUGCAUUGUUGGAGUGCAGAAAGAAUACUGGGGAGACAGAGUGCUAGUCCUGGCACUUCCUGGGCAAGCUCUACUAUUGUGCUGCACUCCAGCUGGCUCAGGAUCUUUAGAGAAGAUAGAAACCAUCUUUAAAUGUCCAUGUGCCAGGGUCUCCUAUAGUCCAGGCUGGCCUGAGACUUACUAUAUAGACAAGGACAACUGCUUCCACCUCCCAAGCUCUGGAACUACAAUUGAAUAACACCAUACCUAAGUCCUAUUUUUUUAUUACAAUAGCUAUGAUAUAUCACAAUAAAGACCAGUGGGUCUUCCUGUUCUGUUUCUGA